rnacentral:lncRNA from 1 species
GGGAGAUCGAGGAGCUGCGGCAGAAGGAGCUCGCUUUGGACAAGGAGAUCGCCCAGCUGAUGGCUGAGUAUGUCCUCGGGAGCGCGAUGUCUCUGCUGUUUUGGGUUUAAAGCGUGCUGUGGUGCGGUAAUUAGAGCUGAAGGGGUCUGUGGUGGUGCUGUUCUUGUCCCAGUGCUGCUCAGGGUUGGUUACAGCAUUGGUUUGAGUUGCAGGACUGGUAAAGACAACAGAGGAUCCUUUACGGUUCGUUUGGUAAAGGAGAACAAAUUCUACUGAGAGCUUGGUUAAGGAAACUUUAACUUUACCUUGGAUCUCGCUGAGGAUAUUGUGUAUGUUGGAAACGAAUAAUUUUAAUUGUCAUGGUACUAUGGGAUGUCAUGCCACCAGAAGUGCUUGUUCACGUGAGGCUUAGAACUGUGAUUGUGCCUUGUAUGGCCUGCCACAUCUAGUCCUGGAUAACCUUCCUUUGUUUUUCCUUUUUGGAGCAAUGUGCACUCUUUCUAUGCAUAAAGUGCUUACUGUGCAGCAGCAGCAAUUCCUCUAUGUCAUUUUUGAUUUUUCUGGUUUUGUUGCAGAGGCUACAGCCUGGAGGAGUUGGAGAAACACAUCGCUCUGCUCCAUGAGUAUAACGACAUUAAAGAUGCUGGUCAGAUGCUGCUGGGCAAGCUGGCUGUUAUCCGAGGGGUUACUACAAAGCAGCUGUACCCUGAAUAUGAUCUGGAGCUCAGUGACUAGCACCGAACCUGAAGACUGCCGUAUCCUGCAAUGACUGUUACUGGCCCAUUUUGUGCUGUCAUUCCUGUUUAGAACCAGCACGAGGUUGUCUCAGGUGUGUGUGUGUGUGUGUGUAAACUUCUAGGAGUGUUGUUAACAGCCUUGUUCUAAGAGGCUUUGGAGUGCCAAAUUAUUAAUCUCUCAACUGGUUCCUGCUUGUGGGAAGGGGCGUUGGAGAUGUGGACUUUUGGAUAAAUUUGGUUUUGUAUGCUACCUGAUCACCGCUAUUUUUAUUUUUUUAUUGGAAAUGUAAUUCAAGGAUGGUGCAAAGACUGUUUCCAUUGAGUCUUUACCUCUCUUCAGCAUCCAGGGUCAAUUUGGAUAUGCUGAUCUGCAGGUGGAAGAGCUACUGCUGAAUGGAUGGAGGAAGCGAGGGCAUACGAAUGUGCAAUGUAAUGGCUGCUUUGAAGGAAAAGAGAAACCCUCAGAAACAGGGAGGGCAGAGGGUUGAAGUUGUUUGGUUUUGUUUUGCUUUUGAGGAUUGGAUCUGGAGAAGUUUGAGUGUUUUAUAUUUUUGUACUUAACUGCUCAGGUACCUAGAGAUUUUUGUAUCCUUUCUACAGUGAAAUGUGAAGUUGUAUUGAACUACCCAAUCUGAAUAAAGCAGCUCUCACAUCUCUCA